rnacentral:snRNA from 1 species
GCAACUUAGGCAGCACAUAUACUAAAAUUGGAAUGAUACAGAGGAGAUUAGCAUGGCCCCUGCGUAAGGAUGACACAAAAUUCGUGGUGUACCAUGUUUUU